UACAGAGGGGGCAAGCGUUGUUCGGAAUUACUGGGCGUAAAGGGCGCGUAGGCGGCCUGUUAAGUCGAACGUGAAAUCCCCGGGCUCAACCCGGGAACUGCGUCCGAUACUGGCAGGCUUGAAUCCGGGAGAGGGAUGCGGAAUUCCAGGUGUAGCGGUGAAAUGCGCAGAUAUCGGGAGGAACACCAGUAGCGAAGGCGGCACUCUGGGCCGGUACUGACGCUGAGGAGCGAAAGCGUGGGGAGCGAACAGG
rnacentral:rRNA from 1 species